GACGAACGCUGGCGGCGUGCCUAAUACAUGCAAGUCGAACGCAGUGGGGAUGGGUGAGUAACACGUGGGUAACCUCCCAUCAGAGGGGAUAACACUUGGAAACAGGUGCUAAACCGAUACUGAUGGAUGGACCCGCGGUGCAUUCGCUAGUUGGUGAGGUAACGGCGCACCAAGGCGACGAUGCAUAGCCGGCCUGAGAGGGUGAUCAGCCACACUGGGACUGAGACACGGCCCAGACUCCUACGGGAGGCAGCAGUAGGGAAUAUUCGACAAUGGACGAAAGUCUGACCGAGCAACGCCGCGUGAAUGAAGAAGGUUUUCGGAUCGUAAAGCUCUGUUAUUAGAGAGGCGGUAUCUAACCAGAAAGCCACGGCUAACUACGUGCCAGCCGCCGCGGUAAUUC
rnacentral:rRNA from 1 species